UCCGCGGAUAUCCGCAGAGACCCAGGCCCCCGGCGGAUACGGGGUCCCCGUUACCCGUCAUAGGGACGGGACGGGGACGGGGAUAGUAAUUGGGGGGCGGGUGGCAUGUCCCCGCCCCCAUGGGACCCGUUGCCAUCCUUAGCCCAGCCUCCUCCCUUUCCCCUUUCUGUCGCCAUCAAGUCCAGAGACCAUAAGUCUUCCUCUUCGUGACCCCUGUCUGACACCACCCCUCUUCCAUCGAGCCCAGAACUCCUCCGCGCUCAAGCCUUCCCCCUGUUUCUCUUCACUGGCUAGAAUGACAGAAUAGGGCAAGAGCCUUGUUCCUUUGCUGUGCCCCUCUUCAGCUGCUGCCAUUGGAGCAGCUCCACUACCAGGCCAGCUGGGUUACUCCGGCCGUUCACUCACCAUCAUCCACCUUUUCUUCUCUUCCUGUGUUCCAUUUCCUUCCUUCCAGUUUUUUGCAUAUGAGCAUCUGAGGAGGAGGAGGCAUGGGACAGUAGAGGUGACACAGUGACGACUUCUUCCACUCUGCAUGAUCGUGAACACCGAGGACGGUGCUACAAUUUAAGUGUGGGGAGGUUGUCCAACUUUAGCAGCGCAUUUUGUGUGACAAGCUUCAUUCCGAACACUUUUAGUUUAGUUCUUUUUAUACUUUUUAGUUGUUUUGUAUAUAUUUUAUCUUUUGAAAACCUUUUUACUUAGUUUAUUGUACUUUCUUAGUUUAUUACACUUUUCAAUUUUGCUUGUAUAUAACUUAGUAUUAUAUUGUAGUAAAGCAUGUUUUUGAUUU